UACGGGGGGGGCAAGCGUUGUUCGGAAUUACUGGGCGUAAAGGGCGCGUAGGCGGCCUGCUAAGUCGAUCGUGAAAUCCCCGGGCUUAACCCGGGAACUGCGACCGAUACUGGUUGGCUUGAAUUCGGGAGAGGGAUGCGGAAUUCCAGGUGUGGCGGUGAAAUGCGUAGAUAUCUGGAGGAACACCGGUGGCGAAGGCGGCAUCCUGGACCGGCAUUGACGCUGAGGCGCGAAAGCCAGGGGAGCAAACGGG
rnacentral:rRNA from 1 species